UACCCUUCCAGGUACCCUGAAGGUCCUCCAGAGGAGAAUUUAUCUCCAUCAAAGCGUUGUUGAUCCGCUAAAUUCGUCUCGAGACAUAUUCACCCAGUGCAGUGCUGAUAAAUGUAGAAUGUUGAAUCUGUGAUAAUUGUCGACGAUGGAGAGAGAGGCUGAUAGCCGCUGUCGCAGGGAGAGUGAAGCUGCUGGAAGUAACAACAGGGAGCCCGUUUGUAUCACCUGAACAACCAGACUUCAAAGCAGCUUGACCAAAUCGGAGGGUGCCUCGUUGCUUAUCGUGAAUAUUACACCGACAUGAAUUACUACAAGUAUACUGGUUUGUCCAAUAUGCAUUGACCGUAUUGGGUAUGGUACCUGCUCUGAGAAGGGAAUCGCUGGAGCCACAGUCCAACUAUACAGGCUUUCAAGAAACAGAGAGGAGCCAUCUUUGCAAGCUGAUACCUGAUGUGUACCGACAGAAUUCUCACGAGAUACCUUACAGACUACGCCUGGUGUAUACUUCAUAGUACUCCUUCGACUACUGUCUAGAAUCAAGUCGACUGAAGCAAGUUCAAACAACUCUGGCUUCAAACGAGCCGUCGAUUAGACAAACAAAACAUUCUCUCAUAUACUAGAGCACUCUGACAACUCACGACCUAUUCCUAACGAUUGCCACCGCUUAUAAAUAUGUAGAGUACUGAUUGGAAUGUGCUCACAAUCUCAACAAUCCAGUGCUAUAAUUAUUUGAACUAUGUGUUCCUUCCAUAAAUGUUGUAUCCACAUAUAAUCCACAGUGCUGCAAAGUUUCAGAGUUCUCAGGGUAUCAAACAAAAUUAUUUCAAAUACAGUGAAAUAGUUCGUGGACAUUAUAGCGUAACUUGUAGUUCCCUGGUCCUUUUCUUUGCUAUAAAUUAAUCCUUUGCUCUCUA